GGUGGGCGUCGACCGGCGCACGGGUGAGUAACGCGUAUCCAACCUGCCCACCACUUGGGGAUAACCUUGCGAAAGUAAGACUAAUACCCAAUGAUAUCCCGACGAAGGCAUCCGAAUGGGAUUAAAGAUUUAUCGGGUGAUGGAUGGGGAUGCGUCUGAUUAGCUUGUUGCGGGGUAACGGCCCACCAAGGCUACGAUCAGUAGGGGUUCUGAGAGGAAGGUCCCCCACAUUGGAACUGAGACACGGUCCAAACUCCUACGGGAGGCAGCAGUGAGGAAUAUUGGUCAAUGGGCGAGAGCCUGAACCAGCCAAGUAGCGUGCAGGAUGACGGCCCUAUGGGUUGUAAACUGCUUUUAUAAGGGAAUAAAGUGAGCCUCGUGAGGCUUUUUGCAUGUACCUUAUGAAUAAGGACCGGCUAAUUCCGUG
rnacentral:rRNA from 1 species